AACGAACGCUGGCGGCGUGGAUUAGGCAUGCAAGUCGAACGGAACUUCUAGCUUUUUCGGAAGUUUAGUGGCGAAAGGGUGAGUAACACGUGGGUUACCUGCCCUAGGGUUCGGGAUAACCUGUCGAAAGACGGGCUAAUACCGGAUACGUCCUGCACUUUUCGAAGUGCAGGGGAAAGAUGGGGACUCGUAAGGACCUAUCACCCUUGGAUGGGCCCGAGGCCUAGCAGCUAGUUGGUGAGGUAAUGGCUCACCAAGGCUACGACGGGUACCUGGUCUGAGAGGACGAUCAGGCACACUGGAACUGAGACACGGUCCAGACACCUACGGGUGGCAGCAGUCGAGAAUAAUUCACAAUGGGGGCAACCCUGAUGGUGCAACGCCGCGUGGAGGAUGAAGGUCUUCGGAUUGUAAACUUCUGUCAUCCGGGGGCAAGACCUGGCCGUGAAUAGCGGACAGGGUUGAUAGUACCGGAAGAGGAAGGGACGGCUAACUCCGUGCCAGCCGCCGCCGUAAAAC
rnacentral:rRNA from 1 species